GUGAACGCUGGCGGUAGGCCUAACACCUGCAAGUCGAACGGCAGCACAGUAAGAGCUUGCUCUUACGGGUGGCGAGUGGCGGACGGGUGAGGAAUACAUCGGAAUCUACUUUUUCGUGGGGGAUAACGUAGGGAAACUUACGCUAAUACCGCAUACGACCUACGGGUGAAAGCAGGGGAUCUUCGGACCUUGCGCGAUUGAAUGAGCCGAUGUCGGAUUAGCUAGUUGGCGGGGUAAAGGCCCACCAAGGCGACGAUCCGUAGCUGGUCUGAGAGGAUGAUCAGCCACACUGAAACUGAGACACGGUCCAGACUCCUACGGGAGGCAGCAGUGGGGAAUAUUGGACAAUGGGCGCAAGCCUGAUCCAGCCAUACCGCGUGGGUGAAGAAGGCCUUCGGGUUGUAAAGCCCUUUUGUUGGGAAAGAAAAGCAGCAGGUUAAUACCCCGCUGUUCUGACGGUACCCAAAGAAUAAGCACCGGCUAACUUCGU
rnacentral:rRNA from 1 species